UGGCUCUCGCAUCGAUGAAGAACGCAGCGAAAUGCGAUAAGUAAUGUGAAUUGCAGAAUUCAGUGAAUCAUCGAAUCUUUGAACGCACCUUGCGCUCCUUGGUAUUCCUCGGAGCAUGCCUGUUUGAGUAUCAUGAAAUUCUCAAAGCAAGUCUUUUUGUUAAUUCAAUUGGCUUUGCUUUGGACUUGGGGGUUUGCAGAUUCACGUCUGCUCCUCUUAAAUUAAUUAGCUGGAUCUCCAUGAACUUGGUUCCACUCGGCGUGAUAAGUAUCACUCGCUGAGGACACCCGUAAAAAGGUGGCCAGGGUUGAGGAUGAGCCGCUUCUAACGGUCCAUUCGUUUGGACAAUUUAUUUAUGAUCUGAUCUCAAAUCAGGUAGGACUACCCGCUGA
rnacentral:misc_RNA from 1 species